rnacentral:tRNA from 1 species
GCCGCUAUGGCUCAGUGGUAGAGCACUCCCUUGGUAAGGGAGGGGUCGUGAGUCCGAUUCUCACUAGCGGCACCA